UUGGGCAGCUUAGAAAUUGUUUAGCUAACAAUAUGAUCAUUGAAGUUUCUUUCUUCAAUGCGUGUUUGAGGUUUCUAAAGAAAUAUUUAAGAAUAAUGUUGUUUACACUCAAAAAUGGCGUCAGUCCACGUGGGCAAACUCCCUUGCGUAUAGAUCGUUACUUGAUUGGAUAGUAGAAUGGACGCAGGAGAUACUCCUUCAACGUGAGACUAAACAAUUCAGGCACCAGCAAAGCGACCGAAAAGCUUGCGAACGGGCGAUGAUACUCUAGCCCAAGCACGAUCACAACUUUUGCAAGUAAAUGAUAAAAAAGGGUAAAAAAGGUACACAGUCAAAUGGCAAGAAGUGUAUGGAGUUGUAUUUAUUUUCUCCUCAAAAAAUGUACCAAAAAUUAGUAUGCCCGUUCCUUGUUCUUUUUCUCAGACUUUCCCACAUUUUUUCUUUAUAUGUGUUGUUUCUAUUGUUUUACACACCUCUCCCUUUUUUCUUCUAUAAGGGGAGGGUAUUUAUGGAGUUUGGGGAUGACGUGGUGGCUGUUGGAUACGAACCACAUGCCCCUACCUCUUUUUUCCAUACAUCACAUCCUUCUUACAUAUGUAUUUAUUACAUUGACAAAGAGUCAAUUGUCCUAUAUUUCUAGGUUGAGGUUCCUGACACAAGAUAAAGUAAACGCCUUAUCAAUCUUUCAUGAGGAUAUUCUCCAGGUCCGCAAAUAUGACAGCCUCUUUGUCUCUUAGGGCUUCAGCCUCUUCUUUCAAAACUUUGGCUAGUGGUGAAUAUAGGGACUUAGGUAUGGACCCUUCGUCAGGGUCUUGGCAUAGGCUCAGUCAAGUUGCACCUAGGCCAGAAUAAUGACUUCGGCUCUAUAGCCUCCGUAAACUUAUUGCUUGGCUUUUAAGUAUGUUUUGGAGCUGGCUCUUUUGAUGAUGCUAGUAGGAUUUUCCCAUGUUGCUUUUUGAUGGUCAACUUAGUACGAGGAGUAACAAAUGUGAUCUCAAUAGUUAAA
rnacentral:lncRNA from 1 species